AGGUGCAAUCAUACCAGCGUUAAUGCACCGGAUCCCAUCAAAAAUCUAUAGUUAAGAACUCUUGGGCUAGAGUAGU
rnacentral:rRNA from 1 species